rnacentral:rRNA from 1 species
UAAAGCGGCGGACGGGUGAGUAACGCGUGGGAAUCUACCCAGUAGUGGGGGACAACAGUUGGAAACGACUGCUAAUACCGCAUACGCCCUACGGGGGAAAGCAGGGGAUCUUCGGACCUUGUGCUAUUGGAUGAGCCCGCGUGAGAUUAGCUAGUUGGUGGGGUAAUGGCCUACCAAGGCGACGAUCUCUAGCUGGUUUGAGAGGAUGAUCAGCCACACUGGGACUGAGACACGGCCCAGACUCCUACGGGAGGCAGCAGUGGGGAAUAUUGCACAAUGGGCGCAAGCCUGAUGCAGCCAUGCCGCGUGUGUGAAGAAGGCCUUAGGGUUGUAAAGCACUUUCAGUAGGGAGGAAAGGUUGUAACUUAAUACGUUGCAGCUGUGACGUUACCUACAGAAGAAGGACCGGCUAACUCCGUGCCAGCAGCCGCGGUAAUACGGAGGGUCCGAGCGUUAAUCGGAAUUACUGGGCGUAAAGCGCGCGUAGGCGGUUAGUUAAGCUAGAUGUGAAAGCCCCGGGCUCAACCUGGGAACUGCAUUUAGAACUGGCUGACUAGAGUGCAGCAGAGGAUAA